rnacentral:rRNA from 1 species
UACAGAGGUCCCAAGCGUUGUUCGGAAUUACUGGGCGUAAAGGGCGCGUAGGCGGCCCGGCGCGUCCGCGGUGAAAGCUCCCGGCUCAACUGGGAGAGGUCCGCGGAAACGGUCGGGCUGGAGCAAGGUAGGGGGUCGUGGAAUUCCCGGUGUAGUGGUGGAAUGCGUAGAGAUCGGGAGGAACACCGGUGGCGAAGGCGGCUUUCUGGACAGAUACCGACGCUGAGGCACGAAAGCUAGGGGAGCAAACAGG